GUAGGUGGCAAGCGUUGUCCGGAAUUAUUGGGCGUAAAGCGCACGCAGGCGGUUUUUAAGUCUGAUGUGAAAGCCCACGGCUCAACCGUGGAGGGUCAUUGGAAACUGGGGAACUUGAGUACAGAAGAGGAAAGCGGAAUUCCACGUGUAGCGGUGAAAUGCGUAGAGAUGUGGAGGAACACCAGUGGCGAAGGCGGCUUUCUGGUCUGUAACUGACGCUGAGGCGCGAAAGCGUGGGGAGCAAACAGGGAUUAGAUACCCUGGUAGUCCACGCCGUAAACGAUGAGUGCUAAGUGUUAGGGGGUUUCCCGCCCCUUAGUGCUGCAGCUAACGCAUUAAGCACUCCGCCUGGGGGAUACGGCCGCAAGGCUG
rnacentral:rRNA from 1 species